rnacentral:lncRNA from 1 species
AUGCUCUAUACCUCCUGGUGUGAGGUUGGCAAUAUAUAUUUUCCUAGAAAAUUUCUUGUUUUUCCACCUGGCAAAAUAAUGUUUUGUAAUCCUUUGUUAUUCACUGUUUGUAUGAAAAAGAUCAUUGUUUUUGUAUUUGUGUGUUUGCUUUCUCAGUUAGAUUUGAUUAUGUUUUAUCUGGUUCGUUGCCUUUGAACUCCCACUCUGUUAGCCCCCAAAGAAUGAAAAUUUUAAAUGUAUUAAUCUUAGUGUUUUUUUAAUUGCCUGCUUUAUUAACUUUUUGAACUUUGUUAAUUCCUUUUUCCCCUUUACUUAGGUUAAUAGGUUGUUUAUCUAAAUUCUUCAGAAAAAUAUGCUUAAUGUACUUAUUUACAUUUUUUUCUUUCUUAGUAUUGUUAUAAUUAAUUUUCCUUCAACCAUUGUUGUAACUAAAUCCCACAGGUUCUGUUGCAUGUUUUCAGUAUUAUACAUUUCUAGUCAUGUAUUAAUUUUUAUUUAUUUAUUUAAAAGAUUUAUUUAUUAGAGAGAGAGAGAGAGAGAGAGAAUAUAUGAGUGGGAUGGGCAGAGGGAGAGAGAAUCUCAAGCAGGCUCCGCACUGAACAUGGACCCCAAUGUGGGGCUUGAUCUCAUGACCCAGAGAUCACAACCUGAACAGAAAUCUCAAAUCUGAGGCUUAACUGACACCACAUCCCUGGCGCCCAUGUUUAUUUUUUUGAUCUACAAAUUAUUUCAUCAAAAAUUAUACUUUUUUUGAUGGGAUGGGAUAUUUUGUCUACUUUUGAUAUUAAUUAAAAAUUGUAUUGCCCUGUGAUCAUUUUUAUGUAUUCCUUAUUCCUUUUGAAAUUAAUUGAAGUUUUCUUUGUAUCCUAAUAUAUUACUGAUUUUCAUAAAAGUUUCAUAGACUCUUGAAGGGAAAUGUUCUACUCUCUAAAUUUGGGGUAUGUAGUUAGUCAUAAAUGGAGAGACUCUAAUUUUUCUUUUUCUUUUUUUUUUUCUUUUACUUAGAUCUUCUAUAACCUCACUUAAUUAUCAGUCUCUUCAAUCUAAUAUGGAUUAAAGGAGAUAAAUUAAAACACUUUUUAAUUAUGUUUCUAUCUUUGUUCUUUAUAUAUUUCCUUUAGGUUUUAUUUUAUGAGUUUGAGUGCCAAAUAACUUGGUUCAUGAAAGAUUGCUAUAUAUUCAUCAAAUAGUAUAAUUAUUUUAAAGAUAAUUACUCUUUAUUUUAAUAAAAUACCCUAUUUUAUCCAAUUUGAUGUGUUUCACUCUGAAUUAAACCUCAUCAAUUACUAUUUAUAAGAGCUCUCCUGCCUUGUUCUUUGUCUGUGUUUGUCUAGUGGUUUGGUGACAAUUCUUUUCAUUUUGACAUUUCUGCUUCUCCAUUUUAGAACUGUUUCCAAUACGUAACAUGUUAGCUCUUGUUUUGUGAGCCAAA